rnacentral:rRNA from 1 species
UGGGGAAUAUUGGACAAUGGGCGAAAGCCUGAUCCAGCCAUGCCGCGUGUGUGAAGAAGGUCUUCGGAUUGUAAAGUACUUUAAGUUGGGAGGAAGGGCAGUAAGCGAAUAACUUGCUGUUUUGACGUUACCGACAGAAUAAGAACCGGCUAACUCUGUGCCAGCAGCAGCGGUAAUACAGAGGGUGCAAGCGUUAAUCGGAAUUACUGGGCGUAAAGCGUGCGUAGGUGGUUCGUUAAGUUGAAUGUGAAAGCCCCGGGCUCAACCUUGGAACAGCAUCCAAAACUGGCGAGCUAGAGUAGGGCAGAGGGUGGUGGAAUUUCCUGUGUAGCGGUGAAAUGCGUAGAUAUAGGAAGGAACACCAGUGGCGAAGGCGACCACCAGGGCUCAUACUGACACUGAGGUGCGAAAGCGUGGGGAGCAAACAGG